UUCAUGCCAUCAUUCUCAGACAGUUACAAAUUGGGGCAUUGAUGUUGUAAUAUUAAGGGAAAAUGAAAACAACAGUGAAGAUGUCAAAAGGUGGCACUAAACAAUUGCAAGUUAGUAUCAGUUCAGUUACUCACACUAUAAUUAUUACAACAGUUAGGAUUGGCAUAUCUCCUGGACAGUUUCAAAAGGGUAAUCAGAAUAACAAAAGUCUAUGUACGUUUUGAUUCAGAAAUUGGUAGCUUAAGACUUUAUCAUCAGAAUUCUCAUCCAACAUAAAAGGGGACAACAUAGACAACAGAAAAGGGAUGAAUACAUACAGAGAAAAAGCUGGAGAAGAAAUGAAAGACCAACUCUACUCUCAAAAUUCCAACACCACAACACCUCCAUAGUCCAAAUUUCUUCAUCAACCUCACUAUACUUGUCAUUCUUUCUUUAUCCUAUCAUCCCUAAAAAAAUCCAGCAUAUCAUAUCCACAUCUACUAUCUAUCACACACGCAUAUACACAAUUCCACCAGAACUCAUUCAUAUCAUACCAAACAACACACGCAAUUGCUAUAGAGAGACAUGCUUAUCACAAAGGAGUAUCACAUGACAUACACAUAGAACAGAGAGUAACAAAUUAUACAUAGUCAAUAUUAAUCUUUCCAAGCUUUUGUUUUUAUUGGUCGUUAGGGCUUUUAAUGAGAUCUACAAUAGUGUUACUAUGGCUCAGUGCUUUGGCAGAUGUAUACUUAAUUUGAUAAACACCAAAUGAGCUUGCUGCAUUGGCUCUUCAAUACCAUAUUGAGAAUUUGAUAAGAUAUACUAUUAUUUUACUAUUUCAAGUAAGAACAUCAUGAAUACUAAAUGAACUUCUCCAAACAAAAGACAUAGUGAAAUUUAAGGAAUAACUAUACAAAUGGAUCUGAGUGACUUAAUAAAGCAAAUAAGUAUAUUUUGUUCGUUACAUAAAAAGAAUUAAAAAGUAUAAUAUGUAAGCACCAUAACAUUUAUAGACAUUUAUUACAUUAUUCACAAUUCAUUAGUAUCACUUUUUUUAAGAGCAAAUAAUAAUUAAAAAUGAAUAUUGGAUAAUGAAAUAACUUAUAGAACUUUUACGUGUCAAAACAUACAUCUUUCUGUUAAAAAUUAAAUUAGAUCAGAAAGAAUAUCUCUUAUACUACAAGGAUUGACUAAUACUCUCACCGAAAUAUAAACAAAUUGGAUUUAUCAUACAUAAAAUCAAAACUAAAGUAGUGCCAUAUUUUCCAGCCCCAUAAAUAAGAUUUCACAAAAACAAUGUAAGUUCAAAAGAUUAGGCUUUUAGAUUGAAAACUUUUCUUGAAUUCAUACGAUUAAGAUUAAGGGGCCAAAAUGAAUUACAAGUAUAAAAUGAUGAUAAAUUCAUCACCUCUAACGCUAAUAAUCAUUUACAUUUCUAAUUAAAAUUUCAAACUCUAGUAAAUUUCUCUACAAUCCUUUCUAGUAGUGUAAUAAAAACCGUAUCGGACGGUCGAUCGGAAAACUGGGGGACCCUUUACUGGUAAGGUACACCAUCUAUAUCAGUCAUGUAACAAACCGGUGGGAACCGGUGAAAACUGGCCAACCGGUCGGUUUAGUGUUCAUUUUGAAAAAAACUCCAACAAAAGGAUAAUGAAUAAUGGAAGAGAGUGUUGAGGAUAAAACUCCAAGAACUACUUGUAUUUGUUUUUCGAUGUUGUUAAAAACGUGAGGAUUUGGAAGAGGUCUCAUGGGUGAUAAGUGAAAUUGUGAAAAAUAGAAGAAAAAGAGGAGAAUUGGAGAAGGAAGGAGAUGAAAAAGUGAUACACAAUCGUGAUUGAGAAAAAAAAAAGUGAAGGAACUGUGGGUGAGAAUGGAGAAUAUGAAGGAGAGCACUGAAAGGAUGGUGGGGUAAAUGUUCUCUCUCUA
rnacentral:lncRNA from 1 species